GGAGGAAUCUCUGGAGAGAACCGUUAAAUCGGUCGCCGAAGGAGCAAGCCCAUUAUUGGGUGAAACUCUCAGGCAAAAAGGACAGAGGAGUGGAA
rnacentral:ncRNA from 2 species